CGUAGGUGGCGAGCGUUGUCCGGAUUUACUGGGCGUAAAGGAUGCGUAGGUGGAAAUUUAAGUGGGAUGUGAAAUCCCCGGGCUCAACCCGGGAACUGCAUUUCCAAAACUGGAUUUCUAGAGUGCAGGAGAGGAAAGCGGAAUUCCUAGUGUAGCGGUGAAAUGCGUAGAUAUUAGGAAGAACACCAGUGGCGAAGGCGGCUUUCUGGACUGUAACUGACACUGAGGCAUGAAAGCGUGGGGAGCAAACAGGAUU
rnacentral:rRNA from 1 species